rnacentral:rRNA from 1 species
GAUGAACGCUGGCGGCGUGCCUAAUACAUGCAAGUCGAGCGAACAGACGAGGAGCUUGCUCCUCUGACGUUAGCGGCGGACGGGUGAGUAACACGUGGAUCACCUACCUAUAAGACUGGGAUAACUUCGGGAAACCGGAGCUAAUACCGGAUAAUAUAUUGAACCGCAUGGUUCAAUAGUGAAAGACGGUUUUGCUGUCACUUAUAGCUGGAUCCGCGCCGCAUUAGCUAGUUGGUAAGGUAACGGCUUACCAAGGCGACGAUGCGUAGCCGACCUGAGGGGGUGAUCGGCCACACUGGAACUGAGACACGGUCCAGACUCCUACGGGAGGCAGCAGUAGGGAAUCUUCCGCAAUGGGCGAAAGCCUGACGGAGCAACGCCGCGUGAGUGAUGAAGGUCUUCGGAUCGUAAAAAUCUGUUAUUAGGGAAGAACAAAUGUGUAAGUAACUAUGCACGUCUUGACGGUACCUAAUCAGAAAGCCACGGCUAACUACGUG